GUCCAUCAUGCCUAAAUACAAUCUCUAUGCCUUGUCCUGGGCAGGAGGAUGAGGCUUGGCUACGUUCCCUUUCAAGAAUCAAGACGAGAGGACUGAAAGAGAAACAGCUGAAAAGAAGGAGCCAAAUAAAAAACAAGAUCCAGCUGGAGGAGUUCAGGCCCGAUAAGCAGGCUUGAAAAAGAGGUCAGGCCCCAGGAGCUGGGCUGGAGCAGUGAGGAGUGUUUCUUCCAAGAGAAGAUGACUGCCUGAGAGCUUUGGUAGGCAGCCUGAAAUUGCUCAUCAAGGAAAAAGACCAGACUCGGAUUUUAAAUGGCUUCUUCUGAAUGAAGCAAUUAAUGCUAAAAGGAACAUGUUGUCUUCUCAGCAUUUAUAAGGAUUAUUAAUGAGGAUGGCCUGUGCAAAAAGACACCCAGAGAUUUCAUGCUGUUGAUUCACAGAAAGCCUGUUACUGUUCACUCCGUAGAGUCCUCAGAGUCUGGAUCAUCCCUUACAGAAGAUCCUUGAUAAUAUUUCUGAUACACCUCCAAGGUUCCAUUUGUCAAAUGUGUGUGACCCUUCCGAUAAGUCACCAGAGGUGAUGAGGGAGAGAGAGAAAGAAAGCAAAUUACAACUGUAAAGAGUCUCUGAACAGUGAAAGAUCAAAACAGACAGUCUCUGGCUUUACUGGAUGAGUCACCAUUGCAGCCCGACCGCAAAAACAAGCGUGGCUUCUGUACUUAGCAGCAGUCUUCCUGUCUGGAAAGGAAACAUUGCUCAGAUUGGAGAUACUGGCCAUUUUAUAGACUUCAAAGCAACUUAGGCAACUGAACUGUCAGGCGGGAAAACAGGAUGUCUUCCAUUUGGAAGCCCCUUUGCUUCUAAGAAGUUCCAGAGACCAGCCCAGGCCCACAGAGUUAUAAGGAUUCAUCUGGGUACUGAAGACAUUUGGGACCUCAGUGAAGUUUCUCCGAGGCCAGAUGGUCACAUUGAUUUUCUGGAAUCAUUUUGAAUAAAAAUGAGCGAGGUGGUGAACGCAAUGCAAGGCUCUCCACGUACUGUCUGGUAUUGUUCAACCAGCUCCACGACUCCCUGAGGGCAGAGAUGAGCAGAUGUUAAUGGAUAAAGCCAGGUGGGAUGAUGUUAUAACAUUUCUCCUACAGCCCCAAAUCUCCCACCUCCUGCAUGUGUGACCUGAGUAAGAGUCGGUGCAAGAAGACGUCGGUGUUCCCAUCUGUGAAAUGAAGGAAUUGACCCCCGAGGAUCUUCCAUUUCUGACAGUGCUUUGGAUUUCAUUGGUUUUGUCACAGGUACCCCCCAAAAGCCUCCAUCUUUGGAUAAGUGAUUAAAACUGCUGAGUAAUUUUCAAUCAAUAAAAGUUCAGUGCUGGCUCUCA